rnacentral:rRNA from 1 species
CCUUGUACACACCGCCCGUCACAUCAUGAAAGCCGGUUGUACCCGAAGUCGCUGUGUUAACCGAAAGGAAACAGGUUCCGAAGGUAUGGCUGGUGAUUGGGAUG